UAGGAAUCUCAGGAAUGGAUUCAUGCCA
rnacentral:piRNA from 1 species